rnacentral:rRNA from 1 species
UACGUAGGGUGCAAGCGUUAAUCGGAAUUACUGGGCGUAAAGCGCACGUAGGCGGCUUCUCAAGUCAGGGGUGAAAUCCUGGAGCUCAACUCCAGAACUGCCUUUGAUACUGAGGGGCUCGAGUCCGGGAGAGGUGAGUGGAACUGCGAGUGUAGAGGUGAAAUUCGUAGAUAUUCGCAAGAACACCAGUGGCGAAGGCGGCUCACUGGCCCGGUACUGACGCUGAGGUGCGAAAGCGUGGGGAGCAAACAGG